AUUGCAGGAGGUCUGGCAGCAGCUGACCUUUGACCUGCGGCAGACGAAUGAGGCUUUGGAUGUGGAUCAAAGCUGCCUGUCACUCAACGUGAACUCUGCAGGUUUGUCUCUGAAACUGAGCCCCUCCCGUGUGCCUCCAUGGUCUGUGAGGUUGAGAAGGUCUCCACAGUCUGGAGUCUGGUCUCUGAGAAGCUCAACAUACCUGUCAAUCAACAGGGACUCCUCUACAAAGGCAAGGCGCUGGCAGGAUUACGAGCAGAGCCUGUGCUUGUUGAGUCUGGAUGAUAUGGAGCAGCUGGCGACCCACAUGCUUCACCCUGAGGCUGUGGAGUGCAUGGAGCUGUCCCUCCUGGACUGAGGAAUACUGCUGCUGCCCGCUGCCUUCCCUCCUCGCCCCUCGCCCCUCGCCCCUCGCCCCUCGCCCCUCGCCCCUCUUGUUUCUUAGUGCAUCUGCCAGUGCUUCUCACCCACUGAGCAAGGCAUUGAGCAGUGCCAGAUCCUGUUUCACAAUGCUGCUAUAUAUUUACUGACUAUUCUUUAAUUAGAACAUUGUAUAUGUUUGGUAAGAUAGACCACACGAUACACCCUUUCUGAGCACAUUUUCUACUUUUCUGUUUCAUAGGAGCCCAGUUUGGUGCAGGAGGAUUGUGGGUAAUGGAGUGUGUUUUUAUUGGUCUGCAGCCCCCGUAUCGGCUUCCAUUAGCAUUGCUGGUAGAUGAGUGACUGGUUCACUUUAAAGCCUUUUUCUUAAAUAAACGCAGACGUUUUGAAAUAUA